GCCUGGGUGGCUCAGUCGGUUGAGCAUCUGACUUUGGCUCAGGUCAUGAUCUCACAGCUUGUGGGUUUGAGCCCCGUGUUGGGCU
rnacentral:tRNA from 1 species